GAUGAACGCUGGCGGCGUGCCUAAUACAUGCAAGUCGAGCGAACGGACGAGAAGCUUGCUUCUCUGAUGUUAGCGGCGGACGGGUGAGUAACACGUGGAUAACCUACCUAUAAGACUGGGAUAACUUCGGGAAACCGGAGCUAAUACCGGAUAAUAUUUUGAACCGCAUGGUUCAAAAGUGAAAGACGGUCUUGCUGUCACUUAUAGAUGGAUCCGCGCUGUAUUAGCUAGUUGGUAAGGUAACGGCUUACCAAGGCAACGAUGCAUAGCCGACCUGAGAGAGUGAUCGGCCACAUUGGAACUUAGACACGGUCCAGACUCCUACGGGAGGCAGCAGUAGCGAAUCUUCCGCAAUGGGCGAAAGCCUGACGGAGCAACGCCGCGUGAGUGAUGAAGGUCUUCGGAUCGUAAAACUCUGUUAUUAGGUAAGAACAUAUGUGUAAGUAACUGUGCACAUCUUGACGGUACCUAAUCAGAAAGCCACGGCUAACUACGUG
rnacentral:rRNA from 1 species